rnacentral:rRNA from 1 species
CAGCCGUAAACUAUGCUCGCUAGGUGUCAGGCAUGGCGCGACCGUGUCUGGUGCCGCAGGGAAGCCGUGAAGCGAGCCACCCGGGAAGUACGGCCGCAAGGCUGAAACUUAAAGGAAUUGGCGGGGGAGCACAACAACGGGUGGAGCCUGCGGUUUAAUUGGACUCAACGCCGGACAACUCACCGGGGACGACAGCAAUAUGUAGGCCAGGCUGAAGACCUUGCCUGAAUCGCUGAGAGGAGGUGCAUGGCGUAGACGUCU